rnacentral:rRNA from 1 species
UGCCAGCAGCCGCGGUAAUACGUAGGUCCCGAGCGUUAAUCGGAAAUACUGGGCGUAAAGCGCGCGUAGGUGGUUCAGUAAGUUAGGAGUGAAAGCCCCGGGCUUAACCUGGGAAUUGCUUCUAAAGCUGCUGAGCUAGAGUACGGUAGAGGGUGGUGGAAUUUCCUGUGUAGCGGUGAAAUGCGUAGAUAUAGGAAGGAACAUCAGUGGCGAAGGCGACCACCUGGACUGAUACUGACACUGAGGUGCGAAAGCGUGGGGAGCAAACAGGAUUAGAUA